rnacentral:rRNA from 1 species
GAUGAACGCUAGCUACAGGCUUAACACAUGCAAGUCGAGGGGAAACGAUAGAGAAAGCUUGCUUUUUCUAGGCGUCGACCGGCGCACGGGUGAGUAACGCGUAUCCAACCUGCCCACCACUUGGGGAUAACCUUGCGAAAGUAAGACUAAUACCCAAUGACGUCUCUAGAAGGCAUCUGAAAGGGAUUAAAGAUUUAUCGGUGAUGGAUGGGGAUGCGUCUGAUUAGCUUGUUGGCGGGGUAACGGCCCACCAAGGCUACGAUCAGUAGGGGUUCUGAGAGGAAGGUCCCCCACAUUGGUACUGAGACACGGACCAAACUCCUACGGGAGGCAGCAGUGAGGAAUAUUGGUCAAUGGGCGCGAGCCUGAACCAGCCAAGUCGCGUGAGGGAAGACGGCCCUACGGGUUGUAAACCUCUUUUGCCGGGGAGCAACGCUGCGGUAAAGUAGUGACU